UAGGGAAUCUUCCGCAAUGGGCGAAAGCCUGACGGAGCAACGCCGCGUGAGUGAUGAAGGUCUUCGGAUCGUAAAACUCUGUUAUUAGGGAAGAACAUAUGUGUAAGUAAGUGUGCACAUCUUGACGGUACCUAAUCAGAAAGCCACGGCUAACUACGUGCCAGCAGCCGCGGUAAUACGUAGGUGGCAAGCGUUAUCCGGAAUUAUUGGGCGUAAAGCGCGCGUAGGCGGUUUUUUAAGUCUGAUGUGAAAGCCCACGGCUCAACCGUGGAGGGUCAUUGGAAACUGGAAAACUUGAGUGCAGAAGAGGAAAGUGGAAUUCCAUGUGUAGCGGUGAAAUGCGCAGAGAUAUGGAGGAACACCAGUGGCGAAGGCGACUUUCUGGUCUGUAACUGACGCUGAUGUGCGAAAGCGUGGGGAUCAAACAGGAUUAGAUACCCUGGUAGUCCACGCCGUAAACGAUGAGUGCUAAGUGUUAGGGGGUUUCCGCCCCUUAGUGCUGCAGCUAACGCAUUAAGCACUCCGCCUGGGGAGUACGACCGCAAGGUUG
rnacentral:rRNA from 1 species